AGGGUUUGAUCCUGGCUCAGAUUGAACGCUGGCGGAAUGCUUUACACAUGCAAGUCGAACGGCAGCACGAGAGCUUGCUCUUGGUGGCGAGUGGCGAACGGGUGAGUAAUAUAUCGGAACGUAUCCAAUAAUGGGGGAUAACUAAUCGAAAGGUUAGCUAAUACCGCAUACGCCCUGAGGGGGAAAGCGGGGGAUCGAAAGACCUCGCGCGAUUAGAGCGGCCGAUGCCUGAUUAGCUUGUUGGUGGGGUAAAAGCCCACCAAGGCGACGAUCAGUAGCUGGUCUGAGAGGACGAUCAGCCACACUGGGACUGAGACACGGCCCAGACUCCUACGGGAGGCAGCAGUGGGGAAUUUUGGACAAUGGGGGCAACCCUGAUCCAGCAAUGCCGCGUGAGUGAAGAAGGCCUUCGGGUUGUAAAGCUCUUUUGUCAGGGAAGAAACACCGGCUCUAACACAGUCCGGGAAUGACGGUACCUGAAGAAUAAGCACCGGCUAACUACGUGCCAGCAGCCGCGGUAAUACGUAGGGUGCGAGCGUUAAUCGGAAUUACUGGGCGUAAAGCGUGCGCAGGCGGUUAUACAAGACAGGCGUGAAAUCCCCGGGCUUAACCUGGGAAUGGCGCCUGUGACUGUAUAGCUAGAGUGUGUCAGAGGGGGGUAGAAUUCCACGUGUAGCAGUGAAAUGCGUAGAUAUGUGGAGGAAUACCAAUGGCGAAGGCAGCCCCCUGGACCUGUACUGACGCUCAUGCACGAAAGCGUGGGGAGCAAACAGGAUUAGAUACCCUGGUAGUCCACGCCGUAAACGGUGGGCACUAGUUGUGGGAACCUUCCACGGUUUCUGCGACGCAGCUAACGCAUUAAGUGCCCCGCCUGGGGAGUACGAUCGCAAGAUUAAAACUCAAAGGAAUUGACGGGGCCCCGCACAAGCAGCGGAGCAUGCGGCUUAAUUCGACGCAACGCGAAGAACCUUACCAAGGCUUGACAUAUACAGGAAUAUGGCAGAAAUGUCAUAGCCGCAAGGUCUGUAUACAGGUGGUGCAUGGUUGUCGUCAGCUCGUGUCGUGAGAUGUUGGGUUAAGUCCCGCAACGAGCGCAACCCUCGUUCUGUGUUGCCAGCAUUUAGUUGGGGACUCACAGGAGACUGCCGGGGUUAACUCGGAGGAAGGUGGGGAUGACGUCAAAUCAUCAUGCCCCUUAUGUCUUGGGCUGCACGCAUGCUACAAUGGCUGGUACAAACGGCUGCGAUACCGCAAGGUGGAGCGAAUCCGAUAAAGCCAGUCUCAGUUCGGAUUGGGGUCUGCAACUCGACCCCAUGAAGUCGGAGUUGCUAGUAAUCGUAGAUCAGCAACGCUACGGUGAAUACGUUCCCGGGGCUUGUACACACCGCCCGUCACGUCACGAAAGUCGGUAACACCCGAAGUCAGUGGCCCAACCGUAAGGGGGGAGCUGCCGAAGGUGGGAUCGGUGAUUGGGACGAAGUCGUAACAAGGUAACCGUA
rnacentral:rRNA from 1 species